rnacentral:lncRNA from 1 species
AUGCUGAAAUGAGGCACACUCUGCCUCUGCCCCCACACAGCCCUCCUCCCUCGAGACAGCUGUGGACCAGCCUGGGGGAGGACUGGUUGCCAUCCUAGGAUGAACAAAGCUUGGGGUGGGCAGGUUCCAUUAGCUCAUUCUCCUAAUUAUUCUGGCUGGUCAUUGUUUCUCCUGAUGAAUUCCCAAUUAGCACUGGGGAGCACAGCUUGGGUUUGAUUCUGCCAGUUUUCCGGAGCCAGUUCUCAGCUAUUUCUGGCUUGGCCAGACCUACGACCUUCCUGCUUCCAUGCUAGCUGCAAUUCAGGAAUGGCCUCAGGGGCACUUACACGUUGCCACCAUCAAUGACAACACCGUGAAAUUGGUCUCAUUGUUGCCAUUUCACACGUGGGGAAACUGAGGCUCAGUGAAGUGAAGAGGUUUGCCCAGCUUCCUACCACAACCUUACCUUAACAGAAGAAAAGCAAGAUGUGUGCUUCAUCAGCUUCCCUUGCAGCUAGAGCGGCCACAUGAUAUGGUCUCAUCUAAAAAAGUGUCAGAAGAAGUCUCCUGGGGAGCUUCAGAUCAAAGUAAAGAAGUACAUGAAGAGAGUUUGUCACUGUCCCGUGUGGGUGCAAUGCCUGGAGCCAUGGCAGCCAUCUUGAGAUAACAAGGGGAAAACCAAGAGAACUGGAGAGAUGUGGACCCAAUGGACCAUCCAGAUAUCUGGACACUGAGCUACUGCUGAAGCCACGCUGCAAGGGUGUACCCCUCAGACUUCUCAAUACGGAAACAACAGACAUCCUUGUGAUUUAAGCCGCUGCUUGUUUGUUAUUUGCUCCACGAAUCUUAACUAAUGAAGGAAUUGUAAGGAAUGAGACUGGAGGGUCUAACGGGGCCUAGAUUAUGCAGGGCCCUUAAAGGCAGCUGGGGUAAGUGAAGGAUUUUACAUAGGAAAGGGAAGCUCAGGUUUAAAGAAGGUAAGUCACUACCCAGAGUCCUACUGCUAAUAGGUGUCAGAGCUGAGAUUUGCAGAGACCCUCCAAGUGGAGUCCAAGUCCCUUCCUACCACUCUGUAGGGCAAUUUGCCUCUACAACCAAAUGGCCCUAGUCAAUCCUCACAAGAGGAUUCUCUUGGCCUAUGGGUCAUUUCUAACUACAUGCUGGAAAAGCUGAGAUUUGGCCAAAUCUUCCUUAUUUGGAAUCAGAUCUGUGAUCUUCAGAAACAAGAAGACUUGAGGAGGUAUGUAGGGACAUGGGAGAAGGUGCAAAGUUGAGAGAUGGUAUGGAUGAAUUGAACUUGGGGAAAAGACUCACAAAGACACAAGGCAUGGAGGAAAUUACAAACAGAAGGAUGGUGCCAACCCUUCCACCAUCUUGGUUUCAUUGUCUGAGAAGAAAGUGGGAACCCCAGCAUCCUCUCCUGCCUCUCCAGGGUCUGCACCUGUCUGACUCCAUUGCACCACAGGCAUCCAGGAGGCCCUGAACUCCUCAGGGCCACUGCAGGGUCUCACUCAACCACUCUCUCAGAGUCAGGCUCACUGCGUGCCACAGAAUGGGUCCUUAGUCAGCAUCUGCCCUGUAUGGACUGAAACUUGAGACAAAGCAAAACUAGGGUGAGCUCACCUCUGGGGUGGGCACCUCCUCAAAAGACAGGAUCACAGGUCAUCCCCAUUUUUUUCUCUCCCAGGUUCUUUCAGCUGAACAGACCCAUCCACACAUCUCUUCCCCCAACAAAAACCACAAACCUUUUCCAUGAUUCUAUUUCAGGAGAUUCAACUUAGUUUAAUAGUUCAGAGUGCUAGUUCUGAAAACCAAACUGCCCGGCUCUGCCACUUACUAGCUGUGUGAUUUUGGGCAAAUAGUUUAACAUCUCUAUGUCUCUGUUUUCUCAUCUGUUGCGUAUAGUACCCACUUCGUGUGGACUGUGCUUGUGAGAGUGAAGUGAGUUCAUUCAUAGACAAUCCUGACAUACACCAAGCACGUGAUGAACGCUGUUGUGAUUAUUUAUGAUUAUCCUGACUCAGGACCUUGCCCCUCAUGCCGAGCCCACUUCAGCUUAUAGUACUCAUAGCACAUGCAUCUCAGAGAGGUGUCCACAGAUUUGAAAUCCCUUUUUUUGCUCCAGCAAUUUGAAGCCCAGCAUUCCCGUUUAAAUCCUGACUUAGCCAGCCCCUCAGGGCCCAGGUAGGACCAGCCUGACUGCACACUACCCUGUCAUCCCCGGGCUUGUCCCCCAUCUCCUGCCCUCUCUGUGCACUAAUGGCUGGGGAGCUAAGGGAGGGCAGUGUGCCCUGGCAGGCCUGGCCACGCUGAGCCUUGUUUGUGUAUUUCCACCUUCAUGCUUCAGUUGCUGUCGCCCCUGACUCAUCAGUUAGUUAACAAGCUCCAGAACUGUUCCUCCUCCUUGGGACAUCUCAUCACACAGCCCAUCUAGCCAGUGAGAGUGUGGGCUCCAGCGGGGUGCUUCUGAGGGAGAAGCUGUCUUGUCUGUUCUUCUGUGAUUCUGCCCUUCCUUCCUCAACGCUCUGAGACCAACUCAAAAGCAAAGUCACUGUCUUUCUUUUGCAGUGUGUGCAUGUGUGUAUGUGUGUACUCAUGCGUGUGUGUGUGUGUAUAGGCUUUUGCUCUUCACAGAAAGAAAUCAUGAGCCAUCUGGCUGGCUGAUCAAGAAGGUUAUUAUUUUUAACAAUAAUAGCAGAAGCUCACAUUUACUGAGCAUUUACUAUAAACCAGCAUUUUAUGUGAAUUAACUUGUAGAAUGUUCUAAAUAACCUUGGGAAGUCAGGUGCUUUUGAAAAUCACUGUUUUACAGACAAUAAGAGUGCAGCUUAGACAAUAACUUGCCCAAGUCAUGCAAAUACUAGUAAGUGACAAAGGCAGGAUCUGACUCUAGCCUGUUCCACUCCAAAACUGUACCCUUAAUUGGUGCUUUGAACUUUUUGGUACAUACAAAUCACUUUGAAAACCUGACGCAAGUGCUGAUUCAGUAGAUUUGGGUUGGGGCCUAAGAUCUAGCAUUUCAAAGAAGUGUUCACAUCAUGUUGAUGCUAACCAGUCUGAGCAGACACUUUAAGCCAUGUUGAUCUAGAUCACCCUAUUGUUCCUUCUGACCUGUUAGGAUGACUGCAGGGUGUUCAGUUAAAUUUUUUCCAGGAAGGAAUCUCCUGAAAUAGAAUCAUGGAAAAGGCUUGUGGCUAGAGUCCUGGGUUUGAAUUUCAGCAACCAUUUAGUUCUCAUGACCUUGGGCAACUUCUACUUUUAGAAACUCAGUUUCCUUAUCUUCAGAAUGAGGAUAAUAGUAUCCACUGGCAGGUGAUUGCAAAAGAGUAGAUGUGAAAAUGCCCAUGAAAAAGGGCUCUGCAGACUGUACCAAAAGUUCAGCUAUUAAAGCCAUUUGUUGUUAAAUAAUAAUAUCAUUACUAUAAAAACUCCUGAUUGAAUGGGCAGUGGGGAGGGUCUUAUGUUGCCGUCAUUCCAUUUUUCAUUCAUUCCCAAACUUUUUUUUAAAACCAUCUACCUGAUGACCAAGGGUAAAGAGAUUCAUCACAGUGUUUUAUUUAUAGAGACCUUCACUACCUCAGCCUCUGAGCUCUGUAGGACCCUCUGUGAAGUGUUGUUUAAUACCCACAAAGCAAUUCUUCCAAGCCCCUUCCAUCUUUGGCAAAAUAGAUGAAACAGGAUUGGAUCUCCCCCACCUCAAAAAAAGAGAUCACAAGGAGAGCAGGAAGACCAAGCAAAGCUAACGCCCACUUCUGAAUUCCCA